rnacentral:sRNA from 1 species
UUUUAGUUGUUUGCGUUAGGGAUUGUAGCGGCAUCCUUUGGACACGAGGCUGAGCUUGUCGAGGGAUUGUGUUCAAAGAUAUAGCGGAAAGCCCGGCCCAAA